rnacentral:rRNA from 1 species
UACGUAGGGGGCGAGCGUUGUCCGGAUUCAUUGGGCGUAAAGCGCGCGCAGGCGGCUCCGAGAGCCCGGCGUGAAAGCCCCCGGCUCAACCGGGGGAGGUCGUCGGGGACCUCGGGGCUGGAGGCCGGCAGGGGCGAGCGGAAUUCCCGGUGUAGUGGUGGAAUGCGUAGGGAUCGGGAGGAACACCAGUGGCGAAGGCGGCUCGCUGGGCCGGUCCUGACGCUCAGGCGCGAAAGCGUGGGGAGCGAUCCGG